ACAAAUCCCACUUCCAGUUUUGACCCAAGAGGAAGUAUUUGCAAUGUGUCAAAAAAUUCAUCCAGUAAAAAGCUAUUUGUAUGCAUCAACGUCGCAGUUUAUAAAAUCCUCCAAAAUCCUCUAUGAAAUGGUAACUUACAACAUACAUUAACAAAAUAUAUCACACAUCAAGGUUAGGAACCAGUACAAUCCAUUUUACAUCAACACAUAUAAACUAUUGAGACUUAUUCAUGUUCUUGUCCUCUGCGGCAACUAUGAUGUCGUGGUUGAUUGUGAUAGGCAACACCAAGUAGCUCGCUACCUAGCAUAUUUACAAGAAUAUUAGAUACUUGCAGAUAUGAAUAGAUGGUACAAAAAAGAGAAUUACAGCAAAGAUAAAAAAGAAUUACAUGUCCAAAAUUCUUAAAUCUUUAUAGUAACAAUUUGUUGCUGACUUGACCAUCAUAGUACUAUUAUUUAUAACAGGAAACAAUAAUGAAAUGAAGCAGUAUAUACGAGAACAAGAUGACAGCUUGCAUGAGAACUACAAAUUUAGUCUAUACACAUGGCUUAAAAUUACUUCAUAGUUAUCAAGGUACAAGCCAAAUCAGAACACAGGAACAAAAGGGUGAUGACCACUCUAGUAGUGUGUCGAUGCAAUGCAAGGUUAUUAAGGUACAAGCUGAACUCUGAAGUUUCUUUCUUCAUUGGUUCAUCGUGUACAGAUUGCAUUUUAGAUAUGUUCAGACUAGGAGAACCAAAAAUGUAUCACCAUGAAACGGAAGGCACUACUUAAAUAUAAAUACUAGAACAUACCCUCCAACAAUUUCAUAUUUAAUAUCUUCAUUGCAAAUCAGAAUCAUGACUAUGUUUCUUGUGAUCUUAAUUAGUGUAUGCCAGCUUGAACGCGCAUAUACACAAUAGUAAAAAGUCACCUUAGUUUAUGCAAGCUAUAAUACUUCAUGCACUCUGUUAAUUAAGUAUGACAUGGGAUCUCAGGGGACUUACAUGUACGCCAUGGAGUAGCAAUCACUAAGCUAUUUUGACGGAAUUGCAUAAGGCCGUAUUUUUUAUCAAACACCUCAGCAAACAUGUGAAAGGAACACCUACAGUAGGAAUGUUUCAGCAUCUACACCUAUGGGGCAGCAUGCCGUGUAACAAGAUAUCACAGAAAGAGAGUCAUAGUGAAAUCCAGGACAUAAGCAUCAAUAUUACAUCACUUAGAAUUUUCUUGGAACCGUUCUGAAAAAGGAGCCUCCGUUUCUGCGUAUACGCUUGCAAAAACAAUAUAUACCAAUGACCUCCACUAAACAAUGGCUUUAAAAAACCAAGUUAACCACCAUGAGAACAAAUCUAGAUAAUAACAAAGAUAUAUCAGCUGGGUAAAAUAUGGAUGCUCAAGGCACGUGUAGAUACAAACUAUGGCUAAACUAUUUUAAGAGGUCUUAAGAGGGCAAAUAUUCAAGCAAUAUACGUAUCUAACUCUGCACUAGUUUCCAUUAUAAACAAAUAAAAAAUAGUAAAGGACGGGAAAAUGUUUAUUUUUACAUCUUGUCA
rnacentral:lncRNA from 1 species